GGGUUGUGAGGUUAAGCGACUAAGCGUACACGGUGGAUGCCCUGGCAGUCAGAGGCGAUGAAGGGCGUGCUAAUCUGCGAUAAGCGCCGGUAAGGUGAUAUGAACCGUUAUAACCGGCGAUACCCGAAUGGGGAAACCCAGUGUGACUCGUCACACUAUCAUUAACUGAAUCCAUAGGUUAAUGAGGCGAACCGGGGGAACUGAAACAUCUAAGUACCCCGAGGAAAAGAAAUCAACCGAGAUUCCCCCAGUAGCGGCGAGCGAACGGGGAGGAGCCCAGAGCCUGAAUCAGCAUGUGUGUUAGUGGAAGCGUCUGGAAAGGCGCGCGAUACAGGGUGACAGCCCCGUACACAAAAGCGCAUGUGCUGUGAGCUCGAUGAGUAGGGCGGGACACGUGGUAUCCUGUCUGAAUAUGGGGGGACCAUCCUCCAAGGCUAAAUACUCCUGACUGACCGAUAGUGAACCAGUACCGUGAGGGAAAGGCGAAAAGAACCCCGGCGAGGGGAGUGAAAAAGAACCUGAAACCGUGUACGUACAAGCAGUGGGAGCCCCACCACCAAAGCAUUCUCUGGUGUUGAAGGCCCUGCAAAGCAGCAUCGCGGUGGCGGAGCGUCGUUUGCGACGCCCAACACACAAAACAAGCGGUGAGUGCUUUGGGGUGGGGUGACUGCGUACCUUUUGUAUAAUGGGUCAGCGACUUAUAUUCUGUAGCAAGGUUAACCGAAUAGGGGAGCCG
rnacentral:rRNA from 1 species